rnacentral:rRNA from 1 species
UAUAUAUUGUGUCCCUCUCUACUAUCUAGCGAAACCACAGCCAAGAGAACGGGCUUGUAAAAAUCAGCGGGGAAAGAAGACCUUGUUGAGCUUGACUCAAGUCUGACUCUGUGAAGAGUCAUGAGAGGUGUAGCAUAAAUGGGCGGCCGUGGACUCUCGUGGUUGUGUCGUGCUGACAGCGAAAUACCACUACUUUCAUCGUUUCUUUACUUACUCUGUGAAGCAGAAAGCGCACCAUAACUGUCGACGCUUCUAGAACUAAGUGCAAGGCACUUCGUUGGCCCGCACGAUCUGUUACGAGUACAGUCUCAGGCGGGGAGUUUGACGGGGGCGGUACAUCUGUCAAAUAGUAACGCAGAUGUCCUAAGGCGAACUCAGCAAGGACAAAAACCUCGCGUUGAGCAAAAGGGCAAAUGCAUGCUCGAUCUUGAUUUUCAGCACGACUAGUGACCGCGAAAGCAGGGCCCUUCGAUCCUUUUGACAUUAAGAGUUUUAAAGGGGCACUCAAGUGGUUUUUGGGGAAGCUACUUGUUGGUUGGAUGGCGUUAAGGAAGUGUCAGUAAAUGAGUAUAUUUAGUUUUAGAAAGCAGAACCGCCUAUUAAUCACGCAGGAAUAGAAUACGUGUGGACUCUUUUCUGUUCCAGCGCCGACAAAUGAAGUUUUCGUAUGUUUGAAAAUUUUGGCGCCCUUUGCAAAGUUUCGCUAAAGAAACAAUUUUCAGUUAGUUUAGAUAUAUUGUGCACGAUAAUUGCACAAGACGUAAAAUAGUUCUAGUUUAGAAUACGCGAUACUGAAAUUAUUGUUUCACAAACAAGGGAUUACGUUUU